rnacentral:tRNA from 1 species
CAGGGAGACAACAAAAUGUUUAAUAUUAUUAUUUUGUCACCUUAGGUCGAUCGGUAUCUCACGUUCUUAAUUUAUUAAGAAUUUCAUUUCCUGAGUUUUUCUAGGUCACACCCAUUAUUUUUCCUGGGCCAUUAGCUCAGGUGGUUAGAGCGCACCCCUGAUAAGGGUGAGGUCCCUGGUUCAAGUCCAGGAUGGCCCAUAUCUCUAUGUUGGGGGUAUAGCUCAGUUGGUAGAGCGCCUGCUUUGCAAGCAGGAUGUCAGCGGUUCGAGUCCGCUUACCUCCACUGAUUACCACCUCUUCCAUAUCUAUAGAAAGGAAUUUUUUGGGUUGUGAUCAAAUUCUGAGCGAAUCUAGCUUCCUAAUGAAAUCAUUAAGAUGCUGGACUCAUUGAAUUAAUUUCAUUGUUUUCAGAGAACCUUGACAACUGCAUAGAUUAUUUUUAAAGACAAUGAGCAUCUUUAAUGAUGCAGAUUUAUUAUUUGUGCGAACGCACUAAUAACAAUUCUAUUAAGCUGAUGCUUCAAUUUUGAAGUUAUU